GUGUCUCAAGCUAACCAGGUGAAAGCGCCGUUUUGAAGAAUCGGAGAGCGUGGAUCGUUACCACGGGGACGCACCA
rnacentral:tRNA from 1 species